GGAUGUGAGGGUGAUCUGGCUGCGACAUCUGUCACCCCAUUGAUCGCCAGGGUUGAUUCGGCUGAUCUGGCUGGCUAGGCGGGUGUCCCUUUCCUCCCUCACCACUCCAUGUGCGUCCCUCCCGAAGCUGCGUGCUCGGUGGAAGAGGAUGACAUCCCAGGUAUAGAAGGCAUGUACCGAGAUCUCCAGUCUUCGGUCCCGGGUAUACAAUAGCUGCGCUUCCCUGCUAGAACCUACAAACAAGCUCAAGGUCCACCAUGCUCUCAAGUUUUCCUCAGUGAGCCCUGAUGGGAAACAGAGAAGAGGGGGAAGGGAUGAGGAUUUAUCUUAUAUGAAACCCUUGUAAAAAUGAGACAUUUCAGAUGCUUCUCUGGAUGU
rfam:Anolis carolinensis chromosome 3, whole genome shotgun sequence.